UAGCUAGUUGGUGAGGUAAAGGCUUACCAAGGCGACGAUCUGUAGCGGGUCUGAGAGGAUGAUCCGCCACACUGGAACUGAGACACGGUCCAGACUCCUACGGGAGGCAGCAGUGGGGAAUUUUGGACAGUGGGGGCAACCCUGAUCCAGCCAUGCCGCGUGAGUGAAGAAGGCCUUCGGGUUGUAAAGCUCUUUCGGCCGGGAAGAAAUCGCAUGGGCCAAUACCCUGUGUGGAUGACGGUACCGGAAUAAGAAGCACCGGCUAACUACGUGCCAGCAGCCGCGGUAAUACGUAGGGUGCGAGCGUUAAUCGAAAUUACUGGGCGUAAAGCGUGCGCAGGCGGUUUUGUAAGACAGGCGUGAAAUCCCCGGGCUUAACCUGGGAACUGCGUUUGUGGCUGCAAGGCUAGAGUACGGCAGAGGGGGGUGGAAUUCCACGUGUAGCAGUGAAAUGCGUAGAGAUGUGGAGGAACACCAAUGGCGAAGGCAGCCCCCUGGGUCGAUACUGACGCUCAUGCACGAAAGCGUGGGUAGCAAACAGGAUUAGAUACCCUGGUAGUCCACGCCCUAAACUAUGUCAACUAGGUGUUGGGUGGGUAAAACCAUUUAGUACCGUAGCUAACGCGUGAAGUUGACCGCCUGGGGAGUACGGCCGCAAGGUUAAAACUCAAAGGAAUUGACGGGGACCCGCACAAGCGGUGGAUGAUGUGGAUUAAUUCGAUGCAACGCGAAAAACCUUACCUACCCUUGACAUGCCAGGAACUUGCCAGAGAUGGCUUGGUGCCCGAAAGGGAGCCUGGACACAGGUGCUGCAUGGCUGUCGUCAGCUCGUGUCGUGAGAUGUUGGGUUAAGUCCCGCAACGAGCGCAACCCUUGUCGUUAAUUGCCAUCAUUUAGUUGGGCACUUUAACGAGACUGCCGGUGACAAACCGGAGGAAGGUGGGGAUGACGUCAAGUCCUCAUGGCCCUUAUGGGUAGGGCUUCACACGUCAUACAAUGGUCGGUACAAAGGGUUGCCAAGCCGCGAGGCGGAGCCAAUCCCAGAAAGCCGAUCGUAGUCCGGAUUGCAGGCUGCAACUCGCCUGCAUGAAGUCGGAAUCGCUAGUAAUCGUGGAUCAGCAUGUCACAGUGAAUACGUUCCCGGGUCUUGUACACACCGCCCGUCACACCAUGGGAGCGGGUUCCGCCAGAAGUAGGUAGCCUAACCGCAAGGGGGGCGCUUACCACGGCGGGGUUCGUGACUGGGGUGAAGUCGUAACAAGGUAGCCGUAGGGGAACCUGCGGCUG
rnacentral:rRNA from 1 species